rnacentral:rRNA from 1 species
ACUCCUACGGGAGGCAGCAGUGGGAAUAUUGCACAAUGGGCGCAAGCCUGAUGCAGCCAUGCCGCGUGUGUGAAGAAGGCCUUCGGGUUGUAAAGCACUUUCAGUCGUGAGGAAGGUGGUAAGUGUUAAUAGCACCUUAUCAUUUGACGUUAGCGACAGAAGAAGCACCGGCUAACUCCGUGCCAGCAGCCGCGGUAAUACGGAGGGUGCGAGCGUUAAUCGGAAUUACUGGGCGUAAAGCGCAUGCAGGUGGUUUGUUAAGUCAGAUGUGAAAGCCCGGGGCUCAACCUCGGAAUAGCAUUUGAAACUGGCAAGCUAGAGUACUGUAGAGGGGGGUAGAAGUUUCAGGUGUAGCGGUGAAAUGCGUAGAGAUCUGAAGGAAUACCGGUGGCGAAGGCGGCCCCCUGGACAGAUACUGACACUCAGAUGCGAAAGCGUGGGGAGCAAACAGGAUUAGAUACCCUGGUAGGCUCU